rnacentral:rRNA from 1 species
AGGGUUUGAUUAUGGCUCAGGACGAACGCUGGCGGCGUGCCUAAUACAUGCAAGUCGAACGCACUCUCGUUUAGAUUGAAGGAGCUUGCUCCUGAUUGAUAAACAUUUGAGUGAGUGGCGGACGGGUGAGUAACACGUGGGUAACCUGCCCUAAAGUGGGGGAUAACAUUUGGAAACAGAUGCUAAUACCGCAUAAAACCUAACACCGCAUGGUGUAGGGUUGAAAGAUGGUUUCGGCUAUCACUUUAGGAUGGACCCGCGGUGCAUUAGUUAGUUGGUGAGGUAAAGGCUCACCAAGACCGUGAUGCAUAGCCGACCUGAGAGGGUAAUCGGCCACACUGGGACUGAGACACGGCCCAG